rnacentral:rRNA from 1 species
GCCUAGCCCUAAAUCUUGAUGUCUCAUGCACACAAACAUCCGCCCGAGAACUACGAGCACAAACGCUUAAAACUCUAAGGACUUGGCGGUGCCCUAAACCCACCUAGAGGAGCCUGUUCUAUAACCGAUAAUCCACGAUACACCCAACCACUUCUUGCCAAAACAGCCUACAUACCGCCGUCGCCAGCCCACCUCCAUGAGAGCACAACAGUGAGCUCAAAAGCCCACCAACUA